UACGGAGGGUGCAAGCGUUAUCCGGAUUUACUGGGUUUAAAGGGUGCGUAGGUGGGCAGGUAAGUCAGUGGUGAAAUCUCCGAGCUUAACUCGGAAACUGCCAUUGAUACUAUCUGUCUUGAAUAUCCUGGAGGUAAGCGGAAUAUGUCAUGUAGCGGUGAAAUGCUUAGAUAUGACAUAGAACACCAAUUGCGAAGGCAGCUUACUACGGGAUUAUUGACACUGAGGCACGAAAGCGUGGGGAUCAAACAGG
rnacentral:rRNA from 2 species